UUCAUGUUUAAUUUUUUUACUUUUUGGUUACUUAUUUUAGGUGUUUUCGAAUUUUGGAAAGGCAAUUGUGUUAACGGUUCUGAAUGUGGGAUUGAUAAGUUGUAAUUGUUUAUUCUAUGACAUUAGUUGCAUUUUAUCUAAACCCAAAUUGGAAAAAUUGAUGUCAAUGCACGUAGUUUAGUGUUUUCCAGUUCAAACGCUUUCUUUAAUGGUUUAUUGCUAAUGGGUUUUCUUAGUUAUUUAUGUUUGUUUUGUUAUUAAUCUUGAACUUUCUGUAUGCCUAUGAUCUUUGUACUCUUAGACACAUAUGUAUGCAUUGUCUAUUGCUGAGGCCAUGAUUUUUUGGUUAGG
rnacentral:misc_RNA from 1 species